UGCUCCAUGGUGUAGUUGGGAACACAGCGGACUUUGAAUCCGUUAUCACAGGUUCGAACCCUGUUGGAGCUG
rnacentral:tRNA from 1 species